rnacentral:rRNA from 1 species
GAUGAACGCUGGCGGCGUGCCUAAUAUAUGCAAGUCGAGCGAACGGACGAGAAGCUUGCUUCUCUGAUGUUAGCGGCGGACGGGUGAGUAACACGUGGAUAACCUACCUAUAAGACUGGGAUAACUUCGGGAAACCGGAGCUAAUACCGGAUAAUAUUUUGAACCGCAUGGUUCAAAAGUGAAAGACGGUCUUGCUGUCACUUAUAGAUGGAUCCGCGCUGCAUUAGCUAGUUGGUACGGUAACGGCUUACCAAGGCAACGAUGCAUAGCCGACCUGAGAGGGUGAUCGGCCACCCUGGAACUGAGCCACGCUCCAGACUCCUACGGGAGGCAGCAGUAGGGAAUCUUCCGCAAUGGGCGAAAGCCUGACGGAGCAACGCCGCGUGAGUGAUGAAGGUCUUCGGAUCGUAAAACUCUGUUAUUAGGGAAGAACAUAUGUGUAAGUAACUGUGCACAUCUUGACGGUACCUAAUCAGAAAGCCACGGCUAACUACGUG